UUACCAAGUAUUGAAGGUGAUGCCUGCCCAGUGACAUUACGUUUAACGGCCGCGGUAUCCUAACCGUGCAAAGGUAGCGCAAUCAAUUGUCCCAUAAAUCGGGACCUGUAUGAAUGGCUAAACGAGGUCUUAACUGUCUCUUGCAGACAAUCAGUGAAAUUGAUCUUCCCGUGCAAAAGCAGGAAUACUU
rnacentral:rRNA from 1 species